ensembl:snRNA U6 U6 spliceosomal RNA
GUGUUCACAUUGGCAGCAUAUAUCCAAACUUUGGAAUGAUACAGAAAUUAGCCUGGCCCUUGUGCAAAGAUGACAUGCAUAUCUAUGAAGCACUCCACAUUGAA